UAUCCCCAAUUUAAUAUCCAAUCACAAUACACCCAGGCAUCAUACAUCAUUUCACACAAGGUUUAAUGGCAGACCUCAAACACAUUCAGACUAAAAAUUCAAGAUCUCAACAUCCAUAGAUGUGUUCAGUAGCAAACAACUACAUUGGUAAACAUAAUUUACAUGAGACAAUAAGAUGUUAUGUAUUCAAACUAAGCUACACUAACUGUAUGAGCUUGACUUAUCACUAUAGCUAUGUCUAGGAAACAAUGGCAUGUUCACACUUUUGUAUAUUUCUGCUCAGCCGUUUGUUGAAUGCCAUUUCCGUAAUCAUGGGAUGUUCUGAAUAGAAGACUCGCCACCAUCAUGUGAAGCUACAUUAUUCAAAGAGGGCCACAUGCCUCAAGCCACUUGAUUGUGUUGUCACAAUGAACAGAAGAAUCACCAUGUAUCCUAGUUGACUUGUACAACUACGCGUCGACCAGAAGAUCUUCCAGUGUGAUGCCAACCUAAACAGGUAAGAAACAACUUAUAGAAGCUGCUGGAUGUAAUGAGAUAGUCAUUUAAAGAAAUACCUUGGAUUUAUAUAGCUACUAAAAGCAUUAGCAAUGAAUCUUUGCAAUAAUUGAUUUCAGAGAAGUAAAACAUUAUAAAAAGCUAACAAAUCACAUGUCAAUUAAUGUGUUUUGUUUUAAAAAAUCUUAACAUAAAAGGAAGACAACAUGUGUUCACAGAUGAGAGCCAUGUUACAAAAAAGAAUUCUGCUGACUUAGGUCAAAGCUCAAACGAUAACUUGAAAGCGAGUAUACAUGUUCCUGAUUCUAGUUUCCAGCUGUUUCUAUAAAAUCUGUGCCACAAGUAGAUCGAGUCUUACAACAUUGAUAUUAUUUUCGUUUCUUCGUCUGUAGGGUGUAGAGCUUGUGCACAAGCAGACCCACAAAAGCAUGGUAUGUCAAAACUCCUAUAAACAUAUUGAGAUUGCAGUUCUAGGAAAAAUAGUAAGGGGUGCAACGCUGACCUGCACUCCAUGUGGCGAGGAUGAAGAAGGGUUUACUUUUUGGACAGGUAACAGAAGCAUUGCAUCGCUACAGAGCUGUUGGUUGUGCUCUGCUCUACGGAGGAUGCAAAGGGGUUUGCACCAGGUAGAGGUAGUCACGUUGUGCACUGCCCUGUGGAUUGCAGAAGAUUCCUCUCUAUUAACCCCUCUCUCUCUCUCUCUCUUCGUGUGUUUAAUUCCUCCUUCGAACUCCUUUCUCUACGUGCAUGGAUCAAAUUGAGAAAAGCAACGGAAAGCUGGAAUAAGUGUGAGCAGGAUCAAACUCUGUUAGGUGAGUAACUGAGUGUUACAGCCACAAUGGUUUUUCUAUAUCGAUGGACUCUAUGCAGGCUUGAGUAUCUUUUGAUUUGCAUUAUUUUCUUAUUUAUAGUGAAACAGGUUUAUAAAUAUCAUCAAUUGUUAGCUCAUAAAUAUUUUUCCAUCCGCUAAAAUGGGAUGGCCUCUUUCCAAAGUCUGUGACAACAUCUAACUCAUUUUUUCAGAGUUCGUGUAGUUUCAGAUACCAGAAAGAGUGUUCAACUACAUAUACAGGUGGUUGGAAAUCUGUAAUACCUGGUGAUUGGUAUGUGUACAUCAUCAGUGUCUCUGCUCCAAAUUCAUCAGUUUGAAAAUCGCAGGCAAACAUGUAAUGGUCGAGGCUGCAUUGCUCAUGGUCUCGUUCAACAAUUAAUAGUAAAGUUUUGUUUCCUGCACAAUGUCAAACGAGGCCGCAAAGCUGCACAGUUAGUUUCUAUCUAUCUAUCUACUUAAUUCAUUUUAGGAUCUUUGUGACUGAAGGAUCAAAAUAAGACGAAGAACAUGAUUGGAAGAUUAGAUUGAAACAACAACAGAUUCAUUGCAAAUUGAGAAAAAAAAAAUCCAAAACAAUUCUAACAAGCUCACACACCAUUCAUGCACAAUUCUGUCUAGAAGAAGGAUGGGCAAAAAACAUCAACACAGAUGGUUUGCACUGGCAAUCACAAGAUCUCGUGUAGAAAAAUGAACAUGCAUGAAAGCGGCAGUGGCCACACUUGCCUCUCGGUGCGAGCGCAGGAAUAUCCUCACUGGACAGGGCAGCGUGUGCUCCGCCGAGCAUCCAGCUGCAAAGGCCUGGCUCGGUGCACACACACUAACACACAUGAGCGGCAAACACCAAAAUAGAAUUGAAUUUUUCUUUACCUUUUAGAAUCUGAUGCUUUGGUUGCACACCAAUAACUAAAAAAUUAUAGCAAAUCAUGCCCUGAUUCCACCGAUAACAAUGAGAUAAAAUGUAGGGAAGGAAUCGCUUAAUUUUCAGAGGCAUGAAAGCAAUCAACUAAAAGUAUAUAUAUGUUAAAACGCACUAAAAUGAUCAUAUUCACAAGACUCCAAAUAAUAAAAAAUUCUAGCAUAUAUUUCACGGAAUGUGUACUGUCAGGGAGAACCAAAUA
rnacentral:lncRNA from 1 species